GACGAACGCUGGCGGCGUGCCUAAUACAUGCAAGUUGAGCGAUGAAGAUUGGUGCUUGCACCCAUUUGAAGAGCAGCGAACGGGUGAGUAACGCGUGGGGAAUCUGCCUUUGAGCGGGGGACAACAUUUGGAAACGAAUGCUAAUACCGCAUAAUAACUUUAAACAUAAGUUUUAAGUUUGAAAGAUGCAAUUGCAUCACUCAAAGAUGAUCCCGCGUUGUAUUAGCUAGUUGGUGAGGUAAAGGCUCACCAAGGCGAUGAUACAUAGCCGACCUGAGAGGGUGAUCGGCCAAAUUGGGACUGGGACACGGCCCAAACUCCUACGGGAGGCAGCAGUAGGGAAUCUUCGGCAAUGGACGAAAGUCUGACCGAGCAACGCCGCGUGAGUGAAGAAGGUUUUCGGAUCGUAAAACUCUGUUGGUAGAGAAGAACGUUGGUGAGAGUGGAAAGCUCAUCAAGUGACGGUAACUACCCAGAAAGGGACGGCUAACUACGUG
rnacentral:rRNA from 1 species